rnacentral:rRNA from 1 species
UAAAGAUUAUUAAUUUUUUUUUUUUAAAAGAUUAUGAGUUUGAUUAUUUGUUGAAAAAAUUUUUAUAUGAUAGUUUAAUUUUACAGUAAUGGUAGUUUUCACGUUUUGAUAAGAAUAAUUAAGUUUUUGUACCUUUUGUAUCAGGGUUUAUUAAAUAGUAUUUAAGAAUUUAUUUUUCCCGAAUUUGUAAGAGUUAAUUAAUUAUUUAUUUUACUGUGGAAUAAGUAUUUAGAAUUGUUAGUUAGAGGUUAGAUGCUAGUCGUUUACGAAUAUAUCUGGUUCUUGGAGAGAUGAAUUUAAUUUGUUGGUUAGAAGGGAUUUAUUGGUUUUGAUUUUUCUUUUUUAGCUGGUAAGACUUAUGGGGAUGAGCUCGUGAGUGUUCUAGAAAGUUGAUUUUUUUCUUGGUUGGUAGGAUUAGAAUUUUUCUUCGUUAAAAUUAUGUAAUAAUUUUCCUUGAUUAUUUAUUAUUUUUAUGGGUUUUAGGUUUUUUAUUCAAGCUUGUUGGUUAAUUGUUGACCAGUAGGGAUAAUGAUAGAAUUAGUAAUUUUUUUGUAAUUGGUUUUUUUGUGUUUAGGUAGGAAAAAGGAACUCGGCAAAUUUAUUGUUCGCCUGUUUAUUAAAAACAUGUCCUUUUGGUUUUAUAUAAGGUCUAGCCUGCUCCCUGAUUGAUUUUAAGAGCCGCAGUAUUUUGACUGUGCGAAGGUAGCAUAAUAAUUAGUUUCUUUAUUGGGAACUGGAAUGAAUGGUUGGACGAAAUGAUCACUGUCUCUUUUUUAUUUUGAUGAAUUUUACUUUUGAGUUAAAAGGCUCAAAUUUUUUUAAAAGACGAGAAGACCCUAUAGAGUUUUAUUAUUUCUUUAAUUGUUAAAUUGUUAGUAUAGAAAUUUUCAAUUUUAGGUUAAUUUGGUUGGGGUGACUAGAAAAUUUAUUUAACUUUUCUUUUAUUGAAACAUUGAUUUAUGAUUAGAUGAUCCAUCUUGUGAUUAUAAGAUUAAAUUACCUUAGGGAUAACAGCGUAAUUCUUCUAGAGAGUUCUUAUCGAAAGGAGAGAUUGCGACCUCGAUGUUGGAUUAAAAUUUAUUUUUGGUGUAGAAGCUGAAUAAUUAAGUCUGUUCGACUUUUAAAAUUUUACAUGAUCUGAGUUUAGACCGGCGUGAGCCAGGUUAGUUUCUAUCUUUAGAGCAUUAAUUUUUCUUAGUACGAAAGGACCAGGAAAUUGUCUAAUAGAUUUAUUUGUGAAUAU